GGUGUGUGAAGGCAAACGAAAACGACAUUAGAAUGGAUGUAAUGAACUGAUAAAUGUAAAUUAGUGUGUAGAACUGAUACAAAUAAAAGCUAGAUAGCACUGUAGUGUAAUCCAACAGUGUCAAACGUGCCGUGACACACAAAAGGUUGAAAAACUAUGGCCUAGGCAAAAGAGCCAAAAUGUUUUCUUCUCCUGUCAUUUGCCGCCACGAAAUGCUUGCAAAUUGACUUCUUGUCAGUAAGUCAAGUCUAUCCUGAUGGACAUGACAGACAGCAACAUGGUUGAGUCUGUUUUGAGACAUUGUGGACCGGAGCCAGGUUUUGAGCCUGCGGAGGACACUAAAACUUCUCUGCUAUUCUACUGCCGUCUUUUCAUUUUAACAGCUCUAACCUGUUGCGUUAGCUGCAGACACCCGCAUCUCAAACAGUCUGAGCCGUUGAUGGGAUGCGGCAGCUUAUGGCUGUCUUGCGAGACAGCCGUAUUCACGCGAGAUCACGAGAUCACGCGAUUAGAGUUGCAGGCUGGCAGCGAUCAGCAGCGGUGACAGCGGCGCUUACGUCCCCGAUGGAAAGCAGGCAACUAUUCUUCUAGGCAGCGAUUCGAAGGCGUUUCCAGCCUGAAGUCCUUAGCCUGAACUUCCAACCGCCCCCAACCCUACGCGCUGCCAUACAUGUGGCAGGUGACAAGACGCUGUAUUGCGCUUUCAAAAUAAAAGCGAGUAAAA